rnacentral:rRNA from 1 species
GACGAACGCUGGCGGCGUGCUUAACACAUGCAAGUCGAACGGAAAGGCCCCCAUCUUGGUGGGGGUGCUCGAGUGGCGAACGGGUGAGUAACACGUGGGUGAUCUGCCCUGUACUUCGGGAUAAGCUUGGGAAACUGGGUCUAAUACCGGAUAGGACCAUGGUUUAGUGUCUCAUGGUGGAAAGAUUAUUGUUUUGGUGCAGGAUGAGCUCGCGGCCUAUCAGCUUGUUGGUGGGGUAAUGGCCUACCAAGGCGUCGACGGGUAGCCGGCCUGAGAGGGUGGACGGCCACAUUGGGACUGAGAUACGGCCCAGACUCCUACGGGAGGCAGCAGUGGGGAAUAUUGCACAAUGGGCGCAAGCCUGAUGCAGCGACGCCGCGUGGGGGAUGACGGCCUUCGGGUUGUAAACUCCUUUCGUUAGGGACGAAGCCGCACUUUUGUUGGAUGUGGUGACGGUACCUUUGUUAAGAAGCACCGGCUAACUACGUG